rnacentral:rRNA from 1 species
GAUGAACGCUAGCGGCAGGCCUAAUACAUGCAAGUCGAACGGUGUCUUCGGACAUAGUGGCGCACGGGUGCGUAACACGUAUGCAACCUACCUUACAUUGGGGGAUAGCCUUUCGAAAGGGAGAUUAAUACCGCAUAAGACAGUAGCUGGGCAUCCAGCAGCUGUUAAAGAUUUAUCGAUGUAUGCUGGGCAUGCGUCCAAUUAGCUAGUUGGUGAGGAAACGGCUCACCAAGGCAAUGAUUGGUAGGGGAACUGAGAGGUCAAUCCCCCACACUGGCACUGAGAUACGGGCCAGACCCCUACGGGAGGCAGCAGUAGGGAAUAUUGGGCAAUGGACGCAAGUCUGACCCUGCCAUGCCGCGUACAGGAUGAAGGCGUUAUGCGUUGUAAACUGCUUUUAUACAGGAAGAAACGACUCUUGCGAGAGGCAUUGACGGUACUGUAUGAAUAAGCACCGGCUAACUCCGUGCCAGCCGCCGCCGUAAAAC